rnacentral:rRNA from 1 species
UACGUAGGUGGCGAGCGUUGUCCGGAAUCAUUGGGCGUAAAGGGAGCGCAGGCGGGCAAGUAAGUCUUUCUUAAAAGUUCGGGGCUCAACCCCGUGAUGGGAAAGAAACUACAUGUCUUGAGUACAGGAGAGGAAAGCGGAAUUCCCAGUGUAGCGGUGAAAUGCGUAGAUAUUGGGAGGAACACCAGUGGCGAAGGCGGCUUUCUGGACUGCAACUGACGCUGAGGCUCGAAAGCCAGGGGAGCGAACGGG